UUCAAACCUGAGGCCUUAAAUAGAAACACACAAGUAUCUGUUUGAAGGAACUUCUGCAGAGUCCUGGUUCCAGAACAUGAUGAUAGAAUUAUAGACAAACUUUAACAAAAGCUGCCUGAGAGUUUACAGGUUUUUAUGUUGGAUUUCUUCAGUAAUUUAAUGAGAGUUAUCAGCAAUAAUCAAGUGUUCAUUUGAUGAACUUCAUUUCCUAAAACAUCCAGAAUUGGAGCUCAUAUCUUUGGCAGCUGUAAAGUUUCUGCUCCUUCAAAGUUCACAACACAAUGAAUGAAUUCCUAAAACACUCUCAAUGCUGGAGAGCGUUUGAUGCUGAAGCAGUGACCAGUUUUUCUGUUUCUUCUCUGGAGAUGCACAAUGAGGGACGUCUGCAGAGACUGAGAAAGAGUCUCACCACAUCCUGACAUGAGGAAAAAGACUUUAUUGAAGACUACAAUGAGAAAAACUAUCAGACAGCAGACGGCUGCAUUCAAGUUUAGGCUGUUAGAUUGUUCCAGAUAAGACAAGAUUCUUCAGAGCUGUUCUACCACGAGCCUGACAGGAAGAACUCCAACAGCUACUGAAUGUUCCUGUGGUCCCCUCAAGGUUACAGGAGGAGUCCUACGAGGACGAGCUGGUCCACCUGAUGGCGGCCAGUCGCUGCGGUUCAAAGCCAACACCGACUACGUGGACUUCUACUGGACCACACGGAGGCCUUCAAACCGGACCAACAAGUUCAGCGACUCCCCGACUCGUGGGUCUGAGGACGCCGCCGAGCCUCGGUCCAGCCGGCCUCCUGUCUGUGGGUGUUUGAGUGCUGAGAGGUUUGUGGAUGCAUGUGAACGUGUCUGUGUUGAAACAGCAGCUUUUGACUCAGUAACGCUGGUAAAAACCAAGAGCUCCUUUAUUUGUGACUUCCACUAAAAAAACUGAUG
ensembl:lncRNA